rnacentral:rRNA from 1 species
GCUCAGAUUGAACGCUGGCGGCAGGCCUAACACAUGCAAGUCGAGCGGAUGAAGAGAGCUUGCUCUCUGAUUCAGCGGCGGACGGGUGAGUAAUGCCUAGGAAUCUGCCUGGUAGUGGGGGACAACGUUUCGAAAGGAACGCUAAUACCGCAUACGUCCUACGGGAGAAAGCAGGGGACCUUCGGGCCUUGCGCUAUCAGAUGAGCCUAGGUCGGAUUAGCUAGUUGGUGAGGUAAUGGCUCACCAAGGCGACGAUCCGUAACUGGUCUGAGAGGAUGAUCAGUCACACUGGAACUGAGACACGGUCCAGACUCCUACGGGAGGCAGCAGUGGGGAAUAUUGGACAAUGGGCGAAAGCCUGAUCCAGCCAUGCCGCGUGUGUGAAGAAGGUCUUCGGAUUGUAAAGCACUUUAAGUUGGGAGGAAGGGUUGUAGAUUAAUACUCUGCAAUUUUGACGUUACCGACAGAAUAAGCACCGGCUAACUCUGUGCCAGCAGCCGCGGUAAUACAGAGGGUGCAAGCGUUAAUCGGAAUUACUGGGCGUAAAGCGCGCGUAGGUGGUUUGUUAAGUUGGAUGUGAAAGCCCCGGGCUCAACCUGGGAACUGCAUUCAAAACUGACAAGCUAGAGUAUGGUAGAGGGUGGUGGAAUUUCCUGUGUAGCGGUGAAAUGCGUAGAUAUAGGAAGGAACACCAGUGGCGAAGGCGACCACCUGGACUGAUACUGA